rnacentral:sRNA from 1 species
UCCCCAACCCCUCCUCUAGGCUCUCUUGCUGGGUCUCCUUCAAGUGUGUCCUCAGCUUGACACUGGAUGCUUUUUACAACAGCCGUGGUCUCUGAGCUGGGGACCAACUCAUGGAUAUUGUGUCAGCCUUUGUGUACAGGAAAGACUACUGCUCUGUUAAGGAAUUAGUCAUGUCCAGGGACUCUCGGGAUGACACCUCUCUGGCCAAGCCGGCUGAUUCCUGCCAUUGCUCCAGUCACAGGUAGAUGGCACUAUUCUACCACACCAGAUGCCUGGCUUUGCCUGGCUGGCCAGGCUCACCAAGCGAUCAGCCCUAUGACUAUGAGGAAGCAGAGGGCCACACCCGGUUCCAUGAUGCUGCAAGCUGUGGACUGUCACUGAGGCUGUGGUCACGGCUCAUUUGAAGACCCUCACCAGGAGGAUGGUUGGAUCCAGAAGCCAGAAGGGGGCAGAGAGGAGGGCAGGAUGGUGGAUUGUCCAGGCUGCAACCAACAAACAAUGUGUACCAAAAAGAUGCAGAAAGUCGGAUAGGAUUUCCAGCCUGGCCUGAACUCCCCUGAGCGGCAUCCCGCAGAGCACAUCUUCCUCUGGACCUUGGAGACUCCCCAAACCAUAUCUCUACCCUGUCUCUAUAAUGGUCCCCAUCCUACAGUAACCAGCAGUUUCUGGGUGGUUCACAAAAAAAGUCUCUCCAGGUCUUUAAGGAAACCCUAACUCUUCCCUGGGCUGAGGGGUGAGGGUGGGGCAGAGUCCCUGCAUAGCUAAGGUGUCACCUGUGGGUGCUGGGUUAGCCCAGCUCCAGCCUCAGGGAAGGAGGGAGGAGAUUCUUCCCUGAGAGUCUCUGGGCCCCACAAUCGCUGAGUAAAGGUUUGAUAUAUUGAGCAAGUGUCAGCAGAGACAGGCCAAAGAGCCCCAGGCAGGACUGGGGCUGUUCCCUAGGACCCAUGCAGAGCCGAUAACCAUGACCAAGGGGAAAAUCAAUCUGCUGAAAUGUGGCUUCUCGGAGACUGUCUGGCAGGAGGGAUGGUGAAACGCCGUGGCCCAAACCAACACCCAGACCUAUUUAAAGCUUUAAUGUUACAAAAGGUCUAGGGGGCGAUGAGGAAAGGACGAAUAAAUAAUUCAGAAAGCGGAAGGAGAGACAUUGCCAGUACCGACAGACCACAGACCGAGGGUGUCUGUUGUCCCCACUGGGUAUGCCAGUCUCUUCAGCCCUCAAGCUUCUGAGGAUUCAUCUCUCUCUUCUCAUCUCACCAUUGGAGCACUAGAAUUUCAGAAUCACACAACUGCAUCCAGUUUUUUAACCUGGGUAUUGGGGAUUUGAACUUGGACCAUCACGUUUGCACAGCAAGUAUACUAUCCACUGAGCCAAGACCUGGCUAACUUUAUACAGCUGUGUGAUCCUGGGAAAGUUUUAUACCCUCUCUGGUCCUUCAAAGGCUUCACUUUUCCUUAAGACAUAGAAGUGGGCAUCACUAGCUGGAUUGAGUUGGGUACAAUGGCACAUUCCCAUAAUGCCAGCUCUUGGAAGGUAGAGGCCAGAGGAUCAGGUGUUUAAAGUCAUC